rnacentral:lncRNA from 1 species
GCAGCCUGGAGAUCAGGGUAUUCUCUUCUGUCCUCAGGGUUCAGGGUAAAGCUGUCUUCAGGAGAAUGGUCAUCUGCAGUGAGCGUGUUCUGCCGCUGGCUGUGGUUGGCGGCGCCCGCGGGGCCCUGCGGCUCUCCGCCGCCGCCGCGCAGCACGGUGAUGUGCAAGGUGAGCAGGAGCAGCCCCAGCAGCAGCAGCAGCUCCGCCGCCAGCCGCACCAUCCUCUUGAGCCGGGCGGCUUUAGGGCCCCGCGGCGGCGGCGGCCGAGGAGGAGGCGGAGGAGGAGGAGGAGCCGCGGCCGCCGCCGCCGGAGCCGCCGCCGCCGCCGGAGCAGCCCCGGGGUCGGCCGCCGGGACCGCGCCGCUCUCGGCGUCGGCGGGGCAGCGGCGGCAGCAGCAGCAGCAGCAGCAGCGGGGGCCGCCACACCACGGCGGAGCCACGUCGGGGCGGGACGCGGCGGAGGCGGCGGCGGGAAUCCCGUGGCUGCCCCGCGGCGGGCGGCAGGUAGCGGCGGGGCCGCGGGCAGGCGGCGUCUCCGCGAGCAGCCCUGCAAGCCAGAGGCACCGUGGGCCGUCGGAGGGACGGAGCGAGCGGGCCGCGGGGCCGGCCCGGCCCCUCCCGGCGAGAGGGGGGCAAUGAGGGGCAGCCCCCCCACCCCCUCCUCUUCCUCCUCCUCCUCCUCCUCUCCUUCCUCCUCCUCCUUGCUGAGGGCUCCCCGGGCCGCGGGACUGCGGGAGGCUCAGCCGGCUGCCCUCGAUGGGAGCUGGGUACCUGGCUCCAUCCCUUCUCUCUGUCUCCUAGGGCUGGGCAGGGGCAGCGCCGCACUCUCUCCUGCCACCGUGCGUGCGUGUGUGCGGGCGGGCGGUCGGCUCUCGUCCCGCUGCCGCUGCUGCUCCCGCACCAACUUUCUCGCCCCCUCGCUCUGCGCCGGGAGAGGUGUGCGGCGGAUGCUUUUAUAGUGCCCUGCCUCCCUCCCCUGCUGUCCUCCCCCGUGCUCGCUCCCCCCCUUUCCCUUCUCUCUCUCCGCAGCUCCGCCGCUGCCUGCCGUCCCCCUCCCAUCCCCGAGCCCCCCGGGCCGGGCACUCGCUGCACCUUGCGCGGAGCUCCGGGCUGCGGGGAAUGCCGCCUCUGCGUCCCCUUGCAGGAGGCACAGCUUUCCUCCUUGCUGGCUGUAGAAGCACAGCGGAACAAACGCUGUGUCUCAGGUGGGAGGCCCCCAAGUUUACAGUGAAGUUGUGUUUGAGAAGAAAUGAUAACGGUUCAGUGGAAAUGGGGGUGAGGUGACUGCCUGCUGUGGGUCGGUGUACUGUGGUGUCCGAUGUGGAAGAGCCAAACCUCUUCCUGAGUGCUGCAGGUCACUGUAAUGAGAGCGCAGCUCAAAGAAACGUGAAAGAGAUAGAAAGUCACCUCACCAAAAAUGGGACAGUGGGGAUCUUUGUGGUCGUUCUUCUACAGUUCAGACUGUGACGUGUAAAAAGCAAGGAUCUGUGCAACUGGGGCCUGUGUGAGUGAGCAGCAGAGGGCUGUGCGUGGCAGCUGGGAGGUCGAGCUGGUGCCAGAAUGGCCAAAAGCAGAAGGAGCAGUCCCCACCCCAAAUGUUUUCAGCCUGGGAGUGACAUCCCCAGCAGUUCCGCUGCGAAGCGAGGGGGAGAUGCACUUCCAGAGCGUGGUGCCAGCUGUGGCCAAGGCACAAGGUGGGAUCCCGCCUGCAGCACACCGCGCCCUGUCUCCCUUGGCCCAGCAGUGUGUGGGGCAUGAGGAGAGCCGGAGCUCACAGAGGGCCUCGGACAGGUCUGGUGUGUCCGAGGGCUGCAGUCACAAGUGAGUCAGAGUGCUGGCACGUUCCAGGCAGGCAUUAUCAUUAUCCAGUGAUAAUACUGUGAACUGUCAGCUGUCAAACAGGGAAGUGGUUAAAAUAAUUGCACCGAAACACUGUUAGUUAUGAGACCAAAACCCACAGAACCCAACCCUUCAGGUUUAAGGGUUUUUAACCCGCUAUGAGCCCCUCUGCCUCAUGAGAUCACUCCUUGAGGAGCACCCAGUAUAGCACCCGUGCGCUCGGAUGCGCAGGGAAAUCCUACAAAGCCAUUCCACGUUACAUAAAGCCCUAACAGCCUGUGGGAGAGCUCUAAAAGAUGGUUGUAUUUUCUUUAACCCAAACAUUCCUUACGCUAAUCAAAAUACCAAGGAGAUAAAAACACUGUUGCUUCAGUUGUCAUCGCUUAGCCUUGGCUUUCCUGCUGCCAUCGCCGGGAUGCUGGCAGCCAGUGGCAGCGGGCAGGAAAUACGGGGCAGGAGAAAUUGGGCAGGAAAAAGGCAGAGCGGUCCUCCAGGUGUGGCAGGGCCUGUCCCUGCCUGGUGGCUGUCGGCGGCUCCUGGCUGUUGAGGAAAAGUGGAAACUUGGCACAUGAGUUGUGUAUUUCAGAGCUCAAUGGCACAAGUCGAUGGCCGGGGGAGACAAGAGGAUGUAAUGCGAAACAGUCCAAGCAACAGCCUGGUGAGCAGCGCACACAUGGAUCUGCUGCUGAGCUCUGGGUAAUGUAUGUUCUCCCUCGCCUUACGGAAGACUGAACCAAAAGACAUCUUUAAUCCAGAUGAGAUGAGCCCAAGCUGGUGCGUGUUUCCUCAUGGCACAUUAAGUUUUAUGUGUUACGCUGUUGUGGAAGGACAGAGGGAUGGAGCAGUGCUACUAUUGGCAGUGAGCGGCUGGCAGCAAGAAACCAAAGUCCCUCCUGCUUGAAAAAGCUGGGACAAAAGUGGCACUCGUGUAUGGCGACAGUGCUGCGUGGCUGUGCCGGGUAGGAGCAGGAAGUGUGCCAUAGAUGCCAAUUGAAAUUCACACUGUUAAACUGGCAGAUGACUUCAUCAAUGAAUUGCAGCCCUUAGGGAAAAUGUACUCAAAAGCAAAGGGAAAAGCAACCCUGUUUUGAGGACUGUCCCCUGGGGUCCAUCAGGGCUCUGCUCACCCUGUCCACCAAAACAGCACACCGUGGUCACUGUGCCACUUGCAGUUCUUGUGGCCAGCAAGCUGUGCAUAGGGCUGAGUUUGCUUUGCAGGACAAACCCCACCCCAGCACCACAAGGGUACCUACACCGGGUGGUACGAGUCCCACUCCUGGAAACACGCACCGCCAGGCUGAGAAGUGACACCAUGUGAAGCCUGGGUGGUCCUGCUGACUGAAAUCAUUAGGAUGUUAAUUGCAGCCGCUCAAGUGUGAAAAAUCCUCAUUUUGGAUGAGUGCUGCCGCCAGGUGACAUCCUGCAAAGCUAGCUGGAGAGGGAGGGAGGGAAGAGUAAGGUGAUGUAACACCACCAUCAGUACUUCAUUUCAGGAGUGCGGAGGAGGCGGAGGUGGGAACAAUAGGUGAACCAAGUGUGAAUGCCACUGCCACUGGUGUCAGAGCACUGUGGCUCAGCUGGGGCCCACACCCCAGCUGUCCCAGCAGCUAAAGGAUGCAGGUGCUCACCUGUUUGUCCAGGUUACCCCUUUAGUGUCAGCCUUGCUCCAGGACAGUGGAGGGGCCCUGUUGGGAAGGCUGACAGCUUUUCAGAUGUGGCUGCUGCAGCCCCGCUGCUCUCCUCAGCUUGCUCCUCCCUGCGCCCACUCCCAGCAUGCUGUGGUUUUAUCUUUAAGCCCGGGGGUUGCUUUAAAAUUGACUGUGAUGAAAACCUGGCUCCAGUAAAGUCAUUGGCAAAGCUCCCAUUGACUUCAGAGGAGCCAGGAUUUCACCUGAAGACACUGUGUAGAUGAGUGGUGAAUGGAAAGCACAUAUCUGGCUUCCUGAGGGUUAUUGGAGGUGGUGACGACCUCUGCUCUGGUGAGCAUUGAGCAAUGGUGGGUUGAGACAGUUGGCUAAAGCUUCUCUUGCCUCUUCCUCAGCUUUGCUCUACCGUCUCUUCUUGGAUCCGCUUAUCAAGGUGGAAUUCAAUACCUGUUUGCCCACACUGCCCUUCCCCCACUGCCAGCAGAUCAGCAGAUAGGAGACAGAAUGGCUGAUGAGCUUCCAGCUCCAACCUCUAAGCUGGGAGCCACAAAUGCACACACAACACAAAGGUCUUAAAAAAAAAAAAAAAAAAAGGAAAAAAAAGAAUAACCUUCCCCUGAUAACAACGUCAGCCUUUCUUUGACACAUGCUUCCUUUAUCUCAACAAAGUACAACUGGAGGAGUAACAGCAUCUUUUUACAGUGUCCGGUCAGCUCACCUUCCCUGCUUCUCCCAGACCUGCGCUCUCCUUCCCACCUUCAUACUCAGCCCCCAGGCGGACCCGCUGGCUGAGACAACACUUCUCAGCUGUGGGACAGACUGGAAAAGCAGCGGCCACUUAUAUUAACUCUUGAAAUGGAAACGUGCAACGAGUGGGGUCUGAAUGAGAGAAGAUGGAAACGGAGAAAGCAGCACAGCUCAGUUUCCCACCUCUAUUAUUUUUAAUACCGAAUCGUGUUUAUUUUACUCUCCCCCACAUUUUCACUUUUCAGUAUGCUGUGCGUUUUGUGCUGAUGAUGUGCAGCUGCACCAUAGCGUUUGUCAGGGCUGUGGGAAUCAGCACGAUGGGGAAACUCUCCAGAAGUGCCCAAAGAGCCCAAAUUCUGCUGACAUGCACAGGCGCCCUCCACAGCACGUUCACAACCAACCAACCAACCAAAAACGGAAGAGAUAAAUAGAGCAGUUUACACCUUCCACACCUAUGGUUUCCAACCCCUUUAUUUCCCCUGGGAAAACAUCACAUUACUGGAUUGCAAUUGGCUUUUUGUUGAAGGUUGUUUUUGGUGAUGCUGGAAGUACUUAAUUACAACCCAGAAGAAAGCAGAAAGCCAGCUGAGCUCUGGGGAAGGAGAGGAGAGGAUUUUCACAACAAACGUGGUGCUGGUGGGUGAGGCGAAGGGCUGUCUCCAUGGCAGAGAACCUCACAUCCCCACAGAAGAAGUAAAUAAAAUUCAGCUCAUGUCUCGAUGGCAUCAGACAAUGUCACCUGGCUUAGCCAGUUUAACACAAAAGGCAUAGGGCUGUGCUGGAGCUGUGCUGCCAGGGAUGAGGAUUUCAUUGGUGAGGUGGUGCCUCCUGGGUAGUGGCUGCUACAAAGGUGGCAGAAACAAGGACCAUGAGGACAGGUGUUUCCCUGCCAUUCCCUUCUUUCUAAAGCCCUGGUGCUGAGCCCACUGGUACCCAAAUCCAAGCACAGUGACAAACACUGUGAUCCCUACAGAGCUGUCUGAAUGAUCCGCUGCUUUGACAACAGUCUUUUUAAACAGGUAUGUUUGCUGAGAUGCAGGGAAAAGCACUUGUGUGAAACGAAUCUUCUGUAGAGAUGGUGGCAGUGUGCUUGGUGCAGUCUUACCUGUUACAGAGCCAUGUGGCACGCUGCAAGGAAACAGCAGGAGGAGGCUCACAGUUAUUAAUGCAGGUGUUAGUGUUGUUGAGUGGCUGUUCCUAAAGUCAUUUGUGCCAGGCUACAGACAGGCAGCUGGGUUAGAUAUCCCUAACAGCAGCGGGGCACGGCAGGCUGGGUUUUGUGUCCUCUGUUAGCACAGCUUUUAGCAGUGCUGGCCAGGUUAGCAAUACCCCGGGACCAACAAUGGUAAUCAUAACAGCAAACAGUGGCAGAUAUCCUGUGCAAUAUCCCAGGCAAUAAAGGAUGAGAUUAACUUGAAAAGUCUUUGUAAAGGACGAUGAUAUGAAGUAAAGCAAUGGAGAGGAAAAAAAAAAAAAAAAGAACCUGGGGCUCUCGUAUCAAGUAUGUAAUUGAAGAAUAACAUUCUCUGCUACCCAAGUUCAAUCAUGCUGUCUAGGAAACAAAUGUGGGUGGUUUGAAAGCAACGGCUUCACCUGCUGUCCACAGCGGGAUGUGGAAGUCUGCGUGGAUCGGUGGCCGGAGCACAGAGCUGGACUGGGGAAAGGCACCCAGAGAGCAGGCCUGGGGUUGGUGAGUGCUGGUGGUGAGGGGACAGAGAGCAUCACCUCCCGCCUGUGCCCGGGAAAUCGUGCAGCUGUCUGCCCUGGUCUUGCUAGAAGCAGAAAUUUUGAGGAACCUGCUCCAAACUGGAGACACAGGGCUGAGAAGGUGGGAGGCAAUGGGCUACAGCUCAGCACAUUUGUUUGAGGCAUCUAUCCUACAUAGGAGAGGUUUCCUCCUCACCUAACCUGAAGACAACAGCAAGUAUGAAUGGAACAGCAUGGAAAAAGCAAUUCCUGGAGCUCCACCUUGCUGCCUGCAACAGUUACUUGCUGCUAAGCAAGGACUGAGUCUUCUCUGUUUACCGGUAACAUCCUAUAGCAAUGAAAAUCAGCUUCAGGAGGUAGUGCAAGCCUAUGGAAAUCCUCAAAGGAAAGAGGCUUCAGAAAGAUUGGUGGAAAGCACUACCACUGAAUGUCAACACAGCCCCAUUUGAUCAAGCGCGGGCUUUCCCAGAAUCAUAGAAUGGCUUGGACUGGAAGGGACCCUAAAGCCCAUCCAGCUCCAACCCCCUGCCGUGGGCAGGGCUGCCACCCACUGAAUCAGGCUGCACAGAGCCCCAUCAAACCUGGCUUUGAAUGCCUCCAGGGUGCUUUGUCCUUCUACUGCACUGGACAUAACCAGUGUCCCUUUUGUGCUGCAACAUCCCUUCAUAGUUUGUAUGUUUCCAGUGCAUUUUCUCACGUAUAGAGUCAUUUUCUUAAAACGGGGGCUGACUGGGCUUGCUGUUUCUAUUGAAGCUGCUGGUGGUGUUUCUCCAGGAGAGUCCACCAGUCUGAGCAAAGGGCAGGGCAAUCACCUGGCCUUCUGUAGUUUUCUUUCAGAGUUGUCUCUUUGCAAGGUUAGAGAUGGGGAGGCUGUUUCUGGCACUAAAUGCACAGAGCGGGUGGCUGAUAAGAUGAUUAGCUCAACAAAACAGAAAGCUUGUGAUAAAAUGAAAUUAUUUCCAAAAAGUGAGAAUCACAGACUCAUUAAGGUUGGAAAAGACGUCUAAGAUCAUCACAUCCAACCUUCAACCCAUCCCCCCCAUGCCCACUAAACACAUCCCUCAGUGCCACAUCUCCACAUUCCUUGAAUACCUCCAGGGACGGUGACUCCAGCACCUCCCUGGGCAGCCUGUGCCACUGCCUGACGGCUCUUUCUGUGAAGAAAUAAUACUCAACCUGGUAACCAGCCUUACAAUCUUACCUGAUAAUACAACAAAGAAAUGAAUUUCAGUGCAGGCAGGAUCAGACCCUUGUGCAUGAAGGAUCUCUCUACAGUACAUGGAGACGCUAAAAAGAUCUUGUUUAAACAAGAAACAACUUGAAACAGAAUGAAGAAAUCUAAAGAGAGAGAGAAAAAAGCCAAUUAACCCUCUUUGACUUCUGGUGCUUAACCUCAAGCAGCUUUCUUUUAGAUCCCUUGGGGGGUUCAUCUGUAAAAUGCUCCAGUUUACAAGUGGGUUUAACUACAACAUGCUGCUUUCAACCCGAGGCAGACAGGGACAGAUCCAAUUGACACCUGCUUCAGACAACAAAUGGGACACAAAAGAUGAAACUCGUUUCAAAGGGUCUAUUUGUUUGUCUCUUGUCAUGGAUUAAACCAGGGGGCCGCUAUUUCAGAUUGGAUUCUGCUUUCAUUCCAGUCAAUGGAAAAAAAAAUAAUCCUAUUUGUGUGGAUAGGAUAAUGCAAAGCUGGCCCUUGGCAAGGAGAAGUGCUGGUUGUUGCCGAAGCUUUACUGACAGUUCUGCAGUGAGCGACGACACAGUACUUCUGAAAUGCGCGAUUUGCAUGCCAGAUGUUUGAAAUAUGAAUAUUCACACUUGUAGAACUUAAAACAGAACGAUGAAAGUUUACUGAAAAACAAGUGGGAAUACAAGAAUUUUGGUAAGAAUGCGGAGUACCACAGUGCUUUUUAAAAAUAGGUCUUCAGUUAUUUGAUUCAAGUCUAACUCAAUUUAGAAAAUUCUUCCUGUCUAAAGCAAUUUCUGUAUGGGGGGCGGGGGAAGAACAGAGAAAAAUUGCAGAAAUUAUGCCUUUUUGAAACACAAACCAAACGAGGAAAAAAAAAAAACAAAAAAAAACCAAACCAAAGCCUGCUUCAUUGCCAGCAGCUUCAUUAAUGGACAUAACGAGAUGCUGAAGCACUCUAAAUCAGCAGUGAGUUCCACCACCCCCUGCACACAGCGUGCCGGCUCCAGGCACGUGCACCCCAAUGAACUGUGUGCUGUUGGUUGCCCAAUAGGAAAGGAAAUAAUAGGAAAAAAGCCCGACACGAACAUUUUGGCAGCUCCUUGCUUCAAAGAGAACAGAACUUCUGCCUGCAUUCUGUGCACUGUGACAGCCUGCUUCCAACGCGUGCACGCAAAGUAGGCGGCGCGCACAGGGGAGCGCUAACUCGGAAUUUCCUGCCUCCUCCAACAGCGUUAACAUUCCAUUAACAAAUAAUUCUGGGUUAAACAUUACUUUGUAGCAUGCGUUUACCCAAAUGCCUUAAGUUGGAUUUCUGAGGCUAAAGGAUGCGUGGCUUUGUGUCACAUCAACUGUUCUGGUUUGGAAGCGGUGCACCCUCUCUGCAGGUAGAGACCAUGCACACCACACACACACGUUCUGAUUUGCAGGAGCAAGCAGUGCUAGCAUGGAGCCCCUUUUGCUGACAAUCUCACCUUCUUUAGGGCUUUCAUUGAUUUAACUGUUUCAGUCGUACCUUUAAUUGGAACAGGAAUUCUAGGCACAAAGCAGGCACAGGACAUAAGAGGUCUGUAAGGCUGGGUCAUCCCAGGCUGCUGGUACAGGUGUGAUUGGAGAGAUCAGAUCUGGAGAGAUGAACUGGACGCGUGUGGAACCAAAUGCCGCAGAUCGCUGGUGUGUUGGAUGACCCAAAUGGUAGCAAUGGCUAAAGGUACUGAACCUGAAACCCUCAGGAAUCCCAAACAAAUUCACCUAUGUUAUACAGUUGCCUAAUUAUUAGUUGCCUUAUUAGUUGCCUAAUAAGUUAAUUUGAAGUAGAAAGCAUUUAGGAUCGUGGGGAAAAAAAAAUCAUUAUGUAGAUGUUUAAAUUGUUCUGCUAUGUCGCAUUCUUGCAAUGGUCUUUACAAUUAAGCACAGCGGCUGUGAUUCUGCCUUUAACAAACUGAUGGCGAUACUCUUGGAAGCAGCUGGACUACAAACAGUUCUGCUUCCCAGAGUGCGGCGGUUCCAUAUCUAAUGACAUCUACUUAUUGCAGAUGUCAUUACCAAGUAAAAUAAUUGAUUUGGUCGAUAAGGAAAUAGAGCACUUGAAGCAUAACAUGACAAGAGAUAGGAUACCUCUGCGGUCCACCGGCAUUCUUCAGCUGUUUCAGCAGAAUAACAGACAAAGCCUUGCAGACACAGCCUUGCAGAAGAACUCUCACUGGCGAUUAUUUAUGAACUAAGCAUGGUAGAAAGAACAACAUUUUACCAACUGCCGAAAACUGCUUAAAAAGUAACAAUCCAGAACCAGCAGAAUAAUGCACACACUUGCACAUACAUCAAUUAGACUUCAGUAUGGAGCAAGGCUCUGGGGUGCCACACCUAUUCACUACUUGGGAAGAAGCUGAGAAGCGAUGUGUUAAAUUUGGCAGAUAAAGUAAAACCAAUACAACUAAAAGUGAAAGGAAAAUGAGAGCAAAUUCCCUUCCAAACAGAGAAUGCAGCAGUGACGGAAUGCAGAUAGAAGAAUGUAGGAGAAAUGACAUAGCAAAGUAAGCCUGUGUGUUGCCCUGCACUAAGGGAACUCUACCAGCCUGGGUCCCACUGAGAACAGCUGAGAGCUGUCUGUGGAAGAGUGCUCAGGCGAAAAGGCUGUGACGUACAGAGAAAAAAUUAUGCUGAAAUCUCCCUUCUCAAUGAUGUCGGUACUUGGAGCUCAGGAUGCAGUCAUCUCAAGACUAAUUAAAAAAAUAAACUAGUGAUGGGAAUGGAAGGAUCCUCAUUUUACUUAAUUAUCUAGGGCAAGGAGAAAACAUCCCUUUCAUCCAAGGGUUGCAUAAUUGUCCAUUAUGGGCUGAAGUUUGGCUUCUUUAAAACAAGUGACAAUACUCAUACGGAAUUACAUGGAAGAAGGAUGUGACCCAUAAGGGUUCAGACCUUUUGAAGCAUCCGAUCUGUUGAUCAUUGACUAAAAGAUCGUGGGAAAAACAGUUCAUGGUUUUCAGUGUCUGAUAAGCCUCUCUACACUCCAACACUAUCAAACAAAACCAAACCAACCCCCCAAAAAAGCCUCAGAACACACACACACAAAAUGUAUCCACAUGUAUAUAACAAAAUGAGAGUAUGAGAAAUCCAGAAGCAAUCAGCACUCAAAAGACUGGUCAAGGUUAUCGUUACAAACAGAGAAACCAGUCUUAAGAAACCAGUGAUAGCCUGUGUUAGGCUGCUGAACUGGAUUUCAAAUUAAAUUUUAUCCAGAAUGAUUUUUUUAAGCUUAUUUUUAGCUUCAACCAUGUGAGAAGCACAUGGCUCCAUAAAUACAUUUCCCUCAGGAGUAAGUUAAUGGGGAGGGGUGUGUGGGAGGAAACAACCUAAAUAAUUCAUUUAAACUUACUAACUGCAUGAAGAAUUUUAUGGCUUCAUGUCUUAAACAUCAGUCAUAAAAGUGUGAUUGACUUUCAUAGUAACGUGCAUACAAGUACCAACAGUGCGUGGGACAGCAGACUGAUGGAAGGAUUCACACAGGCUCCUAGUAGCCUGCAGCAUCCAUGGGCCCUUCGCAAAGCUGAAAGAGAGGGAAAUGAUUUGCAAGAACGUUUCGAUGCUGCUGUGGUAGGCUCUGGCUCUGAAAUGCUCCACAGAAGGACUUGUCUUUUCCUCUGUUCACUCAGGGAGGCUUUGGGAGGGUCAGGUCAUGUGAAACCUUCCAGCAACCACUCUGGAAAACUGUUCAUAAGAAAAAAAGGAAAGGAUAGAACAGUCAUUAGCUAAUGAUCAUCUAUUUCCAGCAUAUAUGAAAGGAGGGAGCCACUGAGUGCACUAAACAUAUUUGCCCUUCCUGUCAAAGAGGGACAUGAAGAAGGACUUGUGUGACAUAAAAUGACUCUAUUUUCCUGGCUACAUUCUACAGAUCCUACAAAAAAAGCAAUGUUUCUUCUACAAACCUCUCCUCUGGGUGAUGACAAAGGUCUUGUGCAGUUGGACAAAAUCAUGUCCUCGGUCUGCAAAUAUUUCACUUAGGUUGUACUCCCUAGAUUUAAAAAAAAAAAAAAAAAAAGAAGAAGGAAAAAGAGAGAGAAGUGGGGUUUGCUUAUUCUGGUUCUUUUCCAAGUGGUCAUAGGCCAGCAGCUUGUGGCCUGCAGCUCCCUCAGCCUGCAGGUUGACAAGCAAAUUCACACCCAGUAGGAGAACAGACCCUCAGGACUUCGCUGCUGCUGUGAGAGUGGCCUUUUUGACAUAUUGUUAAGACAUUAUAAGCACCAACUUGCUGUUGCGAUGGUGGAUUUGUCUCCCAGUCUGGAGGGGAGCCCUCUGAGGGGUCCUCAGGACCAUCCUCUGCGCUGACGAAGGGCCAAAAGCACAUCAACAUCUCUUUGGCUUUGGGAGAUGUAUUUAUUUUCAUUGCACUGGAUGGGAUGCGCAAAGGUUUUUAACUCAUUUUUUAUGAUUGCUGUGUAACGCACCUUGGAUUUCCUCUCAUAGAUGAUGCAUGUGAAGGUUAAAGUAAAUGCAGUCACUGUGAAAUGCAGAAAAGGGAUCCUAUUAGCUAAAAUGGCAAUGAGCUCUAUUUUUUGGUUUGCUGCAGUCUGGACUUCAUCUCCCCCAGUGAAUAUGUCCAUGUUUAUAUCUGACUACAAACUUGUUUUUUUUCUUAAACUCUACAGAGAAGUUUAUCUUUGGUUACUUCUACUGUGGACUACUGGCUUUGCCUCUUUUCAACCUACAGAUCAAAGACAUUAUAUAAAAACAGUGCAAUUAUGACUAAGAUAAACACUUUAAACUCUGUUGCUGUGAUUUCAUCCAGAUUUUUUUUCUAGGUUUGUAUUAACACUCAAGUGACUCAAUCAGCAUUGGUAGCAAUAAAACACACAUUAUAAUCCCCCGCUGAUCCAUCAUUUUCAUUUGUACCAAGAAGACUUAAGUGGUGCAGCUUGCAUUUUGUUUCCUUUUUCUAGCCUCUGUCAAAAGUACAUGCCCUUCUGCAACGUACACGUGAUACUUAGAAAUCAAAAGAACAGCUAAUGAAUUGCAUCCCACCUCCUCAUGUGGAAAAUGGAUCUAAACUAGCAUCUAAAACACAAUGUGUUUGCUUUAAAUAGCCAAACGCAGAGGGACCAGAGAGAUCUGUGGGGAAUUUUUGGCAUCAUGUGAAGAUUUUUUCAGCCCUCGAAUCCCCCACCCUUGAAUUCUGUGGUGGGUUAGUAGGGAAAGGAUAUAAAAUUGAGGAAUUUUUUUUAAAGGCCUUUCUCUUUGUUUUCUAUUCUCCUUGGCUCCGCUCUUAUAUUUUAAUACCGUACAACAGUAAGGAACAAGGAGGGUCAUUCAAAAAUAUUUUUAAUCUGUUAUUAAAAACAGAACUGCCUUUUUCUGCUGCUGGACCACAUUUACCUACGGCGUCCUAAAAUGGCUAAAAGGGCUGCAACCAUCCCUUCUUCUUAAAGCUUUUGAGGGGUGCCAACCCAAACCUGAAUGAAUGCAGGCGGUGGAGAAUGGCAGUCCUACACUCAGUUUCUACAUGCUGCUGACCACUUUGGUGUCAAGGCACUUCCCAGGGGUCCAAAAUUCGAUACCAGCACCGCUUUCCUCUGAACAAACGAGAUGCUUUGCUUUGGCCUGGCUUUCUCCACUUACCACUCUUUCAUUAAGGCAUAUUUAACUUUAAUUCACCAUGGUAGGAUGGUAGCAUGAAUUUAAGGGCUUUGGUGAAUGAAGAGGGGAUUGCUCAUGUAUUAAUAGCUAUGAAGUGCUGCAGUAGCAAGAGAGGGAGCGAAUGCUUGGUCCCUGUUGUGAUAUGACUUCGUUCUCUUGUUUCUAAGACUACAUUACAUGAAUGUUCAGACGUUUUUGUGGUCAUACAUGUAUUGCACUUCUAGAUUUAGUUUUACUGCAUUAGGAGAAUGUAAAUGCCUGAAGGAGCUCCUGGACAGAAACAGAAGGGUAUAGGGAAUAUGAGGAUUUAGAACACAAGAUGUAAUUCAGAAGUAUCAAGACUGGUUCAGCCUGUUCCAGUAAAGGUGGUGGAAUGCCUACAUUUGUUUUUUCUUUCUCCCCAUGCUGUAUGUUCUUGGCAUCUAUAGCCAUUUGCACAGAUCAGCAAUAAAGCCUCCAAACAAUGAAAUGACAGUUUUCUUCCACCUGUGAGGAUUUCUAUUGCUUGACUAUUUUGUAAAGGAUAAUGUGGUUCUCAACUCCCCAUCUCCAACUUCUAUGCCAUUGGCAAGAUGUCAAACUUCUACACAACAGAAGUCAAAGUCACUGGUUUAACUUCUUGAGAAUAAGCAGAUAAUCCAAGUGUCCUGCUUACACAUACUGUCCCAGCUACUGGGAACUGAAUUGCUGAUGUUAUCUCAUAUAUAAUGCAGAAUGCAACACGGAGCUACUAGGAACAGUAAUAUCUAUUAGCAGUCAUAUAUAAAAGCAAGUAAACAAGAAUUAAGUAUAAAAGUUAGAGGCAGAUCAUUAUAAGAGGAAAAUUUUGCUGUGUUUCUUCACAAAAACAAACAAACAAAAACACAGCAGUAUAAAAAGAAUGGUAAUUUGGCUUGUGUAAUGCAUGAAGAUCUGCCUGAGAUUCUCUGUUACUACUUUUGACCUUGGGGAAAAAAAAAAACAACACAGCAGUCUCAGAUGAUUGGAGAGAAAAAAAACCACAAAUCAUUAAGAAGAGCAAACUGACACAAACCAUUCUCAUUAGAGCCUACGUGUCCUAGAUUGUGCUCUUCAACAUAGUUACAAUGAAAUAAUUUUUUUUCUCAAAAAGAAUGGGGAAAAGAUUACUUCAAUAAAUACCAUAAAUCUCCCAAAAUAGCUUCUUGUCCUGGAUUAUCUCAGGGCAAAUGUCCAGCAGAAAUUACAGCAACAUCACAGAUAUGCAGAGUGAGUAUCUAAGACCAGUCAAAGUAUCUAUUAUUGCUCGUUUUUAUCUUUCUCUAAAGGGAAGGAAGCUAUGUUUGACCUCUAAGGAAGGUCAACAACUUAAUUAUUGUACUCAAGACAAAGCUACUCUGUGCACAGGAAAUGAAAGCUGAAGAGACGUGCCGUGAAAAGAAAGACACUUUCCUCUCUUAAAUAAACGAGACCUGCAUAAUUCUAUAUUGUUUUCAUCCUGUUCAAGACUUGUGGCUGGAUGCUAAGUGAUGUGCAUUGGGAAAAACAGGGAACCCAGGAGCCUUCCUGCAUUUGCAACACAAGUGUUGAAGUAGACAGUUAAAAAACAUAUCUGUAUGGAGAGAGCUGUCAUAACUGUUCUUUUGUUAAUAUGUCAAAUCCUACCUGUGCUAAAUCCCCAUAAGUGAAGUUGGCCAAUCUUCAUUUUGACAGCUUGCCUGCUUGGUGAUGACCCAACAGGAUGAUGUUGAGAGCACGCUGGUGACUUCCAGCUCACUUGGUGUCUUCAGAAAUCAGGAAGAACUCAGGAGCUUCUAUUUAAAAAAACGCAAAUGGAAAAUCUGUAAGGCAGAGGACCUGUGGAAAAAUCUCCAGAGGACAUGCAAUGAGAGGAUUAAUCCUCUUUCACAAGAGAAAUGAUGUUAGCUUGCACAGAUAACCUGAAUUCUGACAUUUUUUACCAUUUGAAUACCUGACAAAUUCUUUCAUAUAUAAAAGGAAGAACAACAUGAGCAGCUCAGUCUUGAUGAGUUUACGAGUUUCAAGAAAACAACGACCUUUCCAAUCCAAGAUCACCAUUUAGCCAAAAGAUCUUCAGUGAUAUUUUGAACUUUUUGUUUGCCACACAGCCUUCUCUUACAACUGGCAGAACUGCCAUGAAACUGGACUCCUUGUCAGGCAGUUGGUGCGAUAACUGGCAAUGUUCACAAUCACAGGGGCUUCCCUUCACAUAAAGCAUCCCAGUGGAAAACCCUUAAGUUCCAAGUUCAAAAAGGAUAAUUUCUCCUGUUGGGAAAAUGGGAAAACUCUCUAAAGCAGGCAGAUUUUUCACUAAAGUCUCCACAGUGGCUGAGAAGUGAACAGUCUGGCUAACAAGAAUGACCAACUAUACAAAUCUAACAGAAAUGUUUUAGGAUGGCUGGGAUUGGAUUUACAUAUGUAUGUCUGCAUGUACGUACAAAGCCCAGAGCCUAUAUGUGGGCCAAGGCUUUCACAGUCACUGCUACUAGGAUGCAACCUAUCAUUUGUAGUCUUUGUUCACCGACACAUGACCUUGUAUUUUGCUGUUUUAAAACACACGUUCAAAGGGGGCUAGUUUAUCAAGUGAUGCAGUUUGCCUUGCAGACCUGACCUGCCUUGUUUAUUUACCACCAGAGUAUAUCUGCAACUUUCCCAGCAGAUUAUUUAUUUUUCCUUUCAAAUCCUUGAUAACAAUGGUGAAUGGCCCAGGGACAAGAACAAACCAUUGCAGAACCUUGAUAAAAAUACCCUCCUGAUACAUUUCUGUCCUGGUAUAUCAGUUCAGACAUUUAAUAUCUCCUACACUGUGGGUAGUGACAUUUUAGGAUAAUUUUGUACAAGUACAAAACUAUACAGGAUCAAAACUGUAAUGACUGGUGUCAUUAUGUCAACAUCUCUUUAACUAAAUGUUGAUUGUUUUGUACAUCCGAUUUUCUUACAAUUGUCUCAGAACUGAUGUGAGGUUAAGUGGCCUAUCUGUCUGGGCAGGCUGGGAAAAGGGGAUCACCUCCUUUGUCCUUUUAAAAUAAUGAAACAUUUGUUCACUUCAAGGUCUCUGGAAUUUCCCCAGUACCUUAUGAAAUCGGGCUCAACAAGAGAUGUUGAUAUAGAAUAUGGCCUGCUAUAAGCAAGAGAAAAAAAAACAACUUGGCCUUAAGGCUUGGAAACAAUUUUGUAACUCUUAGUUUCAACCAGAUCAGUGUGGAAAUGGAUAGUAUUUGUUCUUGUGGGUUAGCAAUUGGUCCUGGUUUUGAUUCUGAUGUAUUCGGCUCCCUUAAAACAACACUGAAUUUCUGCAAUUUAUAUCCAUCUAAAAUCUCCAAUGUCAAAUUACUGAGUUGCGCUGACUCCAGCAGCAUGAUGAUGUGGCAUUACCUGGCUUCCACCUGUUACAGUAAAUUUCCUGUGUUUGCACUAGAGUGGGCCCCAGCUUGCAAAUAUCAGCAGAACUUGCCUGAAGUGCAGGUUUUUAUGAGGCUGCCUGAAGUAGGCAGUUUCACCUGGUUUUGGGUUUCAUUAGGAAAGCUUUGCUCCAGUUACAGCUAUUUUUAAGGGUAACAGGGCAUCACCACACCUCUUUACAAAUGGAAAAAAAACCUGUUCAUCCUUCAGGAGAACAUCACUGCACAGAGACAUCAGUGGGAGACCAUCUGACAGCAGAUGUGCUUUUCUAAAUUGUUUUUGCUCGAUCUAAUUUUGAAAGCUCAGAGUUUUUGCUUCUUCCCCUACCACACUGAAUGAAUCAACUCCUCCUUCGCUCUCCCGUAUUUUCAGGCUGUGCAUAUGUAGAGCCAUUUCUGUAGGACAGUGGAUUUGCUCUGAAGACACAGAGUGCUCUCUGAAGGCCUGACAGGUAAACAAAUGGCAAAGAAAAAUUGUUGCUGGAUACCAGUGGGUAGCAGUCAGAGGAUACAGCCCUGAGGAAAAGUAAGAAGUCUGCCCUGAAGUACAAGUAACUACGUCCAGUUGAUAUUUCUCCCAAGAACACUGGUGAGAAAUCUAUUAAAUUGAAAGUUUUGUCUUUUAACAAUAAAGACAUCUGAAAUCAGAUCCUUAACUCUGGAGGAAAAAGGGUACUUGAACACUGAUGAUAUAUUAGGAGAAAUCCUGCAAGAGAGAAAGCUCUUUGAUUAAAGAUCUGUCUUUAAGAGACUUCCCAUAGAGCCUUCCCUCAUGCUUCUGAACAAAGACAUAGCUAGAGAUACAUCUUGUCUUAUUUUUUUCCUCACAGUAUAUCGUAUCUAUUUGCUUAGGACAUUAUUUUCCUUUCAUCAGGAAGGAUGGUUUUCACAGAUAUACUAUUUAUAUGGGUGCAGGGUCAAUCUUUGUGCCUUUUCUUCCACCCCUACUCGUAACAGAAAGAAAAGAAAACUGCAUAAAAACACAAUAGCUUUCACCACUACUUUUAGGGCUGAUCAAAGGUCAGCAUUUCUGUUUCAAGAAUAACUCCCACUUUCAACGCCACAGAGGUAGAACUGGUCUUUAUUCUUCAUUAAAUAUCUAGUGGGCAAGACUCCCUGCUGAAGUGCAUUAGGGUAAGUGGCUACUGAGCUCAGAUAGAAAGAACUCAGUUCACACUAUGAUUUCUUACAGUUCUUGUGAACUCUGAAGGUUAGUUUCCCCAGAUAAAGCUGCAAAUACACUUGCAGAGAUGGAUUUCCUAAGAUAAAGAGGUAGCACUAGGUCCAUGUUUUGCAGUUUCAUGCCUAUUUCUUUAAACACUUACUGAGGAAGUCAAAGUCCUUAACUAUUUGAUGCCUUUUUGUAAAUCACAGAGCAAUUCUGUUCAGUGACUAUUCUGUGGCAUUAUAAAAUUGACCAAAAAGUUUGGCCAAGAUUAUUCAGCCUCCACCUGGAGAAGGCUCUGGGAAGACCUGAGAGCAGCCUUUCAGUAUCUAAAGGGGGGCUGUAAGAAAGAAGGGGAGAGACUCUAUAGCAGAGCCUGUUGUGAUAGGACAAGGGGAAGGAGCUUCAAAGUAAAAGAGGGGAGAUUUAGACUGGAUAUAAGAAAGAAGUUUUUACAAUAAGGGUGGUGAGGCACUGGAACAGGUUGCCCAGAGAUGUGGUAGAUGCCCCGUUCUCAGAAACAUCCAAGGUCAGGCUGGACGGGGCUCUGAGCAACCUGAUCUAGUGGAGGUGUCCUUGUUCAUUGCAGGGGGUUGGACUAGAUGGCCUUUAAGGGUCCCUUCCAACUUAAAUGAUUCUAUAAUGGUUUGGAGAGGGAUGGAUGACUCCAGCUAUAGACUCUGAGUCUUAAGGUUUGUUAGUGAUUCAUUUAUGGCCUAUAAAGUUCCUUCUGCUCCUUACAUGGUGUUGCAGGACAUACGCUACAUUUACUUAGGAUUUUUCAUUAUGUCCCUCAAGUUUGUAACAAAGAUCGUGCUGAACAGUGGCACAUUAGUUCAAGCAGUUCCCUCAGGUUCUUGACAUUUUUGCAAAGACUUUACCCAACACAAAUUUGAAAGCAUUAGCUGCAGUGCACAGAAAGUGCAAUCCAAGAGUAGCCAGACAGAGAUAGCUAGCCUCUCUUUUCAAAAUGACAGCAAUGGAAUCCCAGCUGUGCUUUCCUGCAGGCCUGUUAUUCAGGUCAGGAGAAGGCCCCACCUGUAAUAACUCCAUUCUUCAUCCACUUUUACUUUAACCACAUCCCUCCCUUCUCCAGCCUAGCUGAGUGUCUGCUUUUAACAAAAUAUGCUGGCUCCCUCUUUUUGUACUAACUCUA